rnacentral:rRNA from 1 species
CCUACGGGGUGCAGCAGUGAGGAAUAUUGGUCAAUGGAGGCAACUCUGAACCAGCCAAGUAGCGUGCAGGAUGACGGCCCUAUGGGUUGUAAACUGCUUUUAUGCGGGGAUAAACUGAGUCAUGUAUGCCUUAUUGCAGGUACCGCAUGAAUAAGGACCGGCUAAUUCCGUGCCAGCAGCCGCGGUAAUACGGAAGGUCCGGGCGUUAUCCGGAUUUAUUGGGUUUAAAGGGAGCGCAGGUCGCCCCGUAAGCGUGGUGUGAAAUGCCGCGGCUCAACCGUGGAAUUGCAGUGCAAACUGGUGAGCUUGAGUGCGCCUGAGGUAGGCGGAAUUCGUGGUGUAGCGGUGAAAUGCUUAGGUAUCACGAAGAACUCCGAUUGCGAAGGCAGCCUACCGUAGCGUUACUGACACUGAGGCUCGAAAGUGCGGGUAUCAAACAGGAUUAGAUACCCUUGUAGUC